UGGAAAUUAAAAUUAAUAUAAAAAUAAAAUGCUUAAAAUAAAAAGCAUGGUGUAAUAUUGAAAUGGAUUGUUUAUAUAACCAAAUAAAGUUAACUUGGGGAAUUAUAGUAGUCUUCAUUGAAGGAUUAGAACUAUUAAAUAUAACAUCUUGACAAUAUAGAGAUUAUAUUAAGGAUCCACAAAACUGAUGUUUAUGUUGCAAGAUAAUCUUGGUAGCACUUCUCAUAAGUUCAGCAUGUUUUAUAUUCAUUGAGCUAAAUUUGAUAAUUUCAUAAUAAAAUGAAGCCAAGAAAAUUAUGAAGAAAUAGAAUUUAGAUAUCCAAGCUAUGCGUCUUGCAUUUUCUUUAAAUGUUUUGUUCACAACCUUGUCAUUAUUAGAGCUUUCAUUUUCACUUUGUGACUAAUCCUGACUUCUCUUUAAUUUAUUUAUUAUUUAUUUAGCUUUCUCACUACUUCUGUUUUACCAUCUGUUUAAACUAGAAUAUGUUUAGAUUUAAUAUUCAUCGGUGAUACAUUUUCCUGCAGAUAAAAUAAACUACUACAAGCUCCUAAAAUGUCAUGUGUUUUACUGGUCAAUAAAAUCUAACCCAGAAUUUUGAGAGAAACCAUUUACUUCAGUCUAAAGUUUUAUGCAGAAACUGAUCAUCCCCACCGUUUCCUUGAAUAAAGAAGCUGUCAAUUACCAUGCAUUAAUAAGUGAGGCUCACACCUUAUAGUAACAACAAAAUUAGAAGAGAAAUAAUAUGUAUGUCUAGUGCAAUGUGAUAUGCAGAAGAAAAAUUUAAAUUCUUUAAUUGUAAAGGAAAAAAGCCAAUAUGACGAUGUUAUUGCCAACGUGCACUUUCUGUCUGCUGAGCGAUGAAAUUAACAAGUAAAGCCAUUGGAAUAGUCAAUAAAAUCAUUUGGCUUUGGAAAGAACAGUGGUAUUUUGUUCAAUAGUUUUGUUUUCUUUAGGUUGAGGCAGCAAUUAUGCCAUCGUCAUCACUUUCCAUCUUUUAGAAGGAUAUUGGUUAAAUUUUGAGUUAAUGAUUUUUUUUUUCUCCCCCAGAUUCCUUUCUAGCCCCUAACAUUACUAUAGUCUUAAACUAUCCUCUGUUUGCCAUACAAAAUGGCUUCUCAUAGGACAACACCAAUGUCAGGGUAGGAGUUGAGGAAGAAAAAGUAAAUAAAAAUACACAAAAUCCAAACUUUGUUAUAUGUUUCAUUCAGUGGCCUUAUACAUGAUUUACAAAUUUUGUUUGCAGUUUAAUUAUAAUUAACCACUAUUUAAAUCAAAUUCACUCCUGGCUGUAUUUCCUGAUUCAGAGUUCCAUAUUGCUUCUAUUGCUGGUUUUAAUUUAUUUGAACCUCAAUCUUCUAAAUUGUCUCUAUUUCCUAUCCAUUUUUUUUUCAUUUGCCUAGAGGUACUUGAAAAUGCAUUCAGAAAAAAAAAAUUCUUACUCACCAUUUUGUACAACUCUUCAAAACUCUAGGAUAUGCUACAUAAUCCACAUAAUAAAAGUAGUAAUUUCAACAGAAAAUCAAGAUGCCACUCGAUUUUGCCAUGGAUUUAUAAAAAUGACACAUCAGACAACAGAAGCAUAUGAGAAAAAUUUGCUGGGUAUCUACUCACUUCAAUUCAAACAUUUGAAGAAAUUAUGAAAAUUCCAAUGAGUUUUUAAAGUCUGUGCUUGCUCUGGUGUAGUGUAGCCAUGCAUUGAUCUAUCAUCACACAGAGUCUUACACUGUCACCUAGGCUGGAGUGCAGUGGCAUGAUCGAGGCUCAUUGUAAUCACGCCUCCCAGGAACAAGUGAUUCUUGCACCUCAGACUCUGGAGUAGCCGAGACCACAGUUCCUGAAACUGAGUAUGUUGCAUCUUUCUUGUACCACACAGUCUGUGCUGGACUCAGCAACUGAUUCUUCUGCUUGUCUUGCUGCUGGUCACUUCUGUUGGUGAAUUCAACUGGUAACUCUGCUGUGGGCAGGUCGGGAAGUUGAGAGAGCUAGGCAUCUUUCUUUUUCCAUGUAGUCACAUGUCCUCUCAUUCUGCUUGGUGCUUCUCACAUGCCCUUUCCAGAAGCAUAGCUGUAUUUCUGCCUGGAGGCUCAGGGCUCCUAUGAGUGCAAAAGUGAAAACUUCCAGACCUUUUAAAGCUUGGGCCUGGAACUGGCACUCUGACAUGUUCUUUUGAUUAAGCACGUCAUUGGUCCAGCCCAGAUUCGAUGGGGAAGAAUUAUACAAGGGGAUGAAUACCAGUAAACUUGUUCACUGGGGGCCAUGAACGGAACAGACUGCCAGAAGGCUUAAUCACUACUUACUGAGUUGGCUGCGAGAAAUAGAGAACAAUGU